GUGAUAUAGCAGUUCCCUCCAAUAACGAGACAAGGCUACGUAUUGAGGGUCAAGAAGAUCUGUUUACUUGGCACCAAAGUGCCUUCUUUUAUGCAGGUUUAACACAUACAGGACCGCCCACAAGGGUUUAUAGAACAACCAAUCAUAAAUGUACAUUACAGAAACACUCCCAGCAAUUACAUCCAAGAAUCCUCCCCUCUGCCUGUGAUCUAAUUAUGGCACACAAUGCUUA